CACGGAGUUAGCCGAUCCUUAUUCUUACGGUACCGUCAAGCUCCCUCACGAGGGAGUGUUUCUUCCCGUACAAAAGCAGUUUACAAUCCAUAGGACCGUCAUCCUGCACGCGGCGGGGCUGGUUCAGGCUUGCGCCCAUUGACCAAUAUUCCUCA
rnacentral:rRNA from 1 species